UCACGGCUCCCACAGAAUCCUCCGGCCGCCGCCACCGCUCGUUCUCCCCUUCAAAUCUUCAACCGACAGCAGCAGAGUCGCGGCCGCCGCCGUCCGUCUGCCUUGGUACAGCCUCAUCGGCGAUGCUGUCACUCAAGGGAAAGAGAGCAGCACAGAUCUGGUGGCCUUGGGGUGGUUGAAGUGGAGGAAGCCGCGCGGAGAGGUGGAGGUGCCGAGGUACUGCGAUAAGGCGCCGGAGACUACUAUUAUAAAAGGGUGUUAAAGCUCAUAUUUUCCUUUCAAACUCAGACGAAAAUCUGCAUCCUAAUCAUUCUUCUCCUGAUUUUCUUCUGCUGGUAGCUUUUGGUGUUAUAUUCUUGGCGAUUCAUCUUCUUUAUAGCUUUGAGAAAUCGCUUGUGUAGUUUGCCCGCUAGAUGUUCGACAGAAUGCUUGAUAGAGUGUGCUCUUUUCUUCAAUCCUUUUUUCUUAUUUUCUGCUGCAUUUUUUUUAAUACCAAGCUUACAAAGCUGUUCUUGUUAAUGCAGCGGCUGCUAGAAGUGAUCGAGUCGCGGAUGGUGGAGCAAUCGGAGGAGAGACCGGAAUACAUGAAGGUGUCCUUGGAUAUGUUCUCGUUGAUCUCCUGCGUUAGAGGGACGUUCUUCACCAUAUUCUAGUUUGAUGAAUAAUAAGUUCAAAUGUUGGAUGAAAUUUGUGAUGUUGGAUUAAAUUUGUUUGAAUGUAAUAUUGGAUUAAUAAUGUUUGAAUGAAGAUUCAAAUGUUCGAUGAAAUUUGUGAUGUUGGAUGAAAUUUGUUUGAAUGUAAUAUUGGAUUAAUAAUGUUUGAAUGAAUGUAUGGAUUUUUAUUAUUAAUAUAUGCAUUUUUAGUUUUC